rfam:Rhodopirellula maiorica SM1 cSM10081, whole genome shotgun sequence.
ACUCGCCAGGUUACGUACAGAAACCCGAUAUGAGGCCGACGUCUAUAGGUGAGCAGGCUGCUGACUGCGAAACCGAACCGGAAGAACUAGCGCAGGUAGAUCGGGAGCUUGGGCGGGGACA